rnacentral:rRNA from 1 species
CACGUAGGGCGCGAGCGUUGUCCGGAAUUAUUGGGCGUAAAGAGCUCGUAGGCGGCCUGUUGCGUCCGCUGUGAAAGCCCGGGGCUUAACCCCGGGUCUGCAGUGGAUACGGGCAGGCUAGAGGUAGGUAGGGGAGAAUGGAAUUCCCGGUGUAUCGGUGAAAUGCGCAGAUAUCGGGAGGAACACCGGUGGCGAAGGCGGUUCUCUGGGCCUGUACUGACGCUGAGGAGCGAAAGCGUGGGGAGCGAACAGG